rnacentral:rRNA from 6 species
CAAACGACUCUCGGCAACGGAUAUCUCGGCUCUCGCAUCGAUGAAGAACGUAGCGAAAUGCGAUACUUGGUGUGAAUUGCAGAAUCCCGUGAACCAUCGAGUCUUUGAACGCAAGUUGCGCCCGAAGCCGUCAGGCCAAGGGCACGUCUGCCUGGGCGUCACG